rnacentral:lncRNA from 1 species
AUUAGUGCAGUGAUGAAGCAAUAUUGUGGACUAGAGUUUCUGAUAUUGGGCUCUUCUUCCCAUUUUAUUUUGACGACAAACCCUUGGCUGUCUGAGCACUAACGGUUAUCAAUCAUUUUUUUUUCUCCAAGUUUUCUUAAUUUACUAAAAUAUAUUCACUCAAAUUUUGAUUGUUUGUAAAUUAGGUUGAGGGCUAAUGAUGAGAAAUACAAUUAUCUUAGCGGAUUUCAGUGAGAUUACUUACUUGUAAUCAAUGAUCUGAUUGUUACACACAUUGAAGCUCUUAGUAAUUUUUUUUAAUAAAAUGGGAUGUAAAUAAUAAUAAUAAUAGCAGUGAUGAGGCAAAACACAUGAGGAUGUGUUUAGGGAAGUGGACAAUACAAUGGAAGUUGUGUUGCCGUGAUCCCCAAUUUAAACGACUUCUCCUUCCACUGAGCUUUUUUAUUUAUUUUCAUUCCAACUUUUAUACAAAUUUACAUGUUUUUUUUCUAAUUUCUUUUACAUAUAUAAAGUUUUUAUUAGAUACGCGUCCAUUUUAUCAAUUCUGGAGGAUAAGUUGGUUCCUCACGGUGUAAUGGCUCGGACGCCAUAUUAAUAUUUGUGGCCAUCCUGAUCAAUGGGUUCUCAGUACCAUUGCAUCCUGGAAACACCUCAUACAUUU